rnacentral:rRNA from 1 species
UGAACGCUAGCGGCAGGCUUAACACAUGCAAGUCGAGGGGCAUCGGGAGUAGCAAUACUGCCGGCGACCGGCGCAAGGGUGCGUAACGCGUGAGCAACAUGCCCGUAUCAGGGGGGAUAAUCCAUGGAAACGUGGUCUAAUACCCCAUAGUAAUUAUGUAAGGCAUCUUAUAUAAUUUAAAGCUUUGGUGGAUACGGAUUGGCUCGCGUGACAUUAGCUGGAUGGUAAGGUAACGGCUUACCAUGGCUACGAUGUCUAGGGGUUCUGAGAGGAAGGUCCCCCCACACUGGAACUGAGACACGGUCCAGACUCCUACGGGAGGCAGCAGUGAGGAAUAUUGGACAAUGGAUGGAAAUCUGAUCCAGCCAUGCCGCGUGCAAGGAAGACGGCCCUAUGGGUUGUAAACUGCUUUUGUAUGGGAGCAAUAAGGGCUACGUGUAGUCCGAUGAGAGUACCAUACGAAUAAGCACCGGCUAACUCCGUGCCAGCCGCCGC